AAUGUGGGGUGAGACCCAAAAGUGUGGGGCUGGACCCCAAAAAUGGGGGGCUGGUAUAGAUCUAUGGGGCUGGGACCCCAAAGUGUGGGGCUGAAGUCUGAAAUGUGGGGCAGGGAACUCAAAAUGUGGGGUGAGAGCCCAAAUGUGGGGCUGGGAACCCAAAGUGUGGGGUGAGACCCCAAGUGUGGGACUGGUAUGGAUCUAUGGGGCUGGGACCCCCAAGUGUGGGGUGAGACCCCCAAGUGUGGGGCUGGGAACUCAAAAUGUGGGGCUGGGACCCCAAAGUGUGGGGCUGGGAACUCAAAAUGUGGGGCUGGGAACUGAAAAUGUGGGGCUGGGA
rnacentral:lncRNA from 1 species